CACCGGCAGCUCAAGUGGUGGCCAUUUUUAUUGGGCCUAAAGCGUUCGUAGCCGGUUUAAUAAGUCUCUGGUGAAAUCCCGCAGCUUAACUGUGGGACUUGCUGGAGAUACUAUUAGACUUGAGGUCGGGAGAGGUUAGGGGUACUCCCAGGGUAGGGGUGAAAUCCUAUAAUCCUGGGAGGACCACCUGUGGCGAAGGCGCCUAACUGGAACGAACCUGACGGUGAGUAACGAAAGCCAGGGGC
rnacentral:rRNA from 1 species